rnacentral:lncRNA from 10 species
GCUUGAACCCGGGAGGUGGAGGUUGCAGUGAGCGGAGAUUGUGCCACUGCACUUGGACCUGGCUGACACAGCAAGACUAUGUUUAAAAAAAAAGAGAGAGAAAAAAAAAAUAGAAGGUGGAAAAAGUAUUUGGUAAACUAAGAAGUAAACCACAACCUAGUAAAGGGCAUAUUUUAAGAAUUCACAACUAGAACCUGGUGCCGUGGCUGUAAUCCCAGCACUUGGGGAAGCCAAAGCAGGAUUACUUGA